rnacentral:lncRNA from 1 species
CAGAAGUUGAGACCAUCGGUAGCUUGCAUCAUUUCAAUCUUGUGAGAUUGAUUGGCUUUUGCGUAGAGAAAUCCUGCAGGCUUCUUGUUUAUGAGUACAUGAGCAAUGGCUCCUUGGAAAAAUGGAUUUUUGUCAGAGAUCCGAGACCUUGUCUUGACUGGCAAACUAGGAAGAAAAUAAUACUUGAUGUAGCCAAAGGAUUGACUUAUCUGCAUGAAGAUUGCCGGAGAAGAGUGGCACAUCUUGAUAUAAAGCCACAAAAUAUUCUCUUGGACGAAAAUUUCAAUGCCAAGGUUUCUGAUUUUGGGUUGGCUCAGCUAAUCGAGAGAGACGAGAGCCUAGUGCAGGCAACAAUGAGAGGAACUCCAGGAUACAUUGCUCCGGAAUGGAGGAAAUCAAAAAUCAGUGUCAAAGUUGACAUAUAUAGCUUUGGAAUUGUACUUCUUGAAGUGGUCAGUGCUCGGAGAAACUUAGAUCGUUCGCGAUCAGAAUCUAGCUGCCAUCUCCUCAGACUGCUGCAGGAGAAGGCCAAGGAGGACAGACUGUUUGACAUCGUGGAAAGUUUCGGCGAAGAGGUGGAAAAUCAUAUGGAUGAAAUGAUAAGAAUGAUUAAGAUUGGAGCCUGGUGUUUGCAGAAUGAUCCCGGAAAACGGCCGUCAAUGUCAACCGUGGUGAAGGUGUUGGAAGGAGUAAUGGAAGUAGAUGCAAACGUCAAUUACAAAUUUGCACAAGCAAUGCCAUAUGUUUCCAUUGUCAAUAGUGAUCAUGUCUCCUCCAGGCCAACAGAAUCUGUUCUUUCUAAUCCUAGAUGAACAUUCAUUUUCAGGCACGUUCAUCAUUGAGAUUUGAGUGCAGGCCAAAUUCAUUAAUGAGUAUGUUGUAAAAUCCAUAAGAGUACUGAUAUGGCUGGAAGAAUCGCUGAAGAAGUUCUUAAGCUUAAUCCUCGGGAUGCGGCUCCUUAUGUGUUGUUUUCUAACAUUCAUGCUUCUGCUAAGAGGUGGCAGGGUGUUUCCGAGUUGAGAGAGGCCAUGAGAGAGAGGAAUGUGAAGAAGGAACCAGGUGUAAGCUGGUUAGAAAUAAAGAAUCAAGUUCAUCAGUUUACCAUGGGCGACAAAUCUCAUCCAAGUUCGAUGGAGAUUGAUUUGUAUUUGGAAGAACUAACAUCAGAGAUGAAGCUACGGGGCUAUGUCCCUGAUACGGGCGCUGAUAUGCAUGACAUGGACAAUGAGGAAAAGGAAUAUAAUUUGAAACACCAUAGUGAAAAGCUUGCAAUUGCGUUUGCUCUGAUGAACACACCCACGGGUGUACCAAUAAGGGUGAUGAAGAACUUGCGCGUCUGCAGUGAUUGCCAUGUUGCUAUUAAGUACAUUUCAGAAAUUAAAAACAGAGAAAUUAUUGUUCGAGAUGCCAGUAGAUUUCAUCAUUUCAGAAAUGGGAAAUGCUCUUGUGGAGAUUACUGGUAAGAAGAUGACUCUUUGCUCUCAUAGUUGUAAACUCUACUUCCAAAAGAUUGGUUUUGUAAACUUUAAAUCAAAAAGGAAAUAAAAGAGUAUUCAUACUUCUUUGAUUACCAAUUUCAAGCUGAAUUAGGAAAAGUCCUUUUCUUUUCUUUGUGAUGUUUUUCCAUAUCCAGAAAAUUGAUUAUGAAAUUUACAAACAUACUUAAUUUGUUUUGAAUUAUUAAAUUUAGUCAAAUAUAAGAAUCGGGUUUAGACCAGUUCUAUUACACGGCAGACCGAAUGUUUGAACUCAUUUAGAGCGGUCUAAGCAUUUUUUUAAAUAAUAGUUUGACUCAAAUAAUAAUUUAUUUAGAUUAUGCCCAAAAGCUGUGAAGAAAAUAAGGCUGUAGGUUGUCUUCAAUCUUAAAAUGUUAAUUGACCUGUUAGGCCAAGCAUGCAUGGGAAAGUCUGAUAUCAGUUUCAGUUGCUUUCUAGAUUUUACUUUUAUAUGUUUGCUUUUGUGGAAGUCAUAAACGCUUCGUCAAAGUCUCAAAGACGUGUUGGACAAUAAUUAUAGCUGGCAAAUGGCAAUCACGACUCUUCCAAGAAAUAAUCAUGAAAGGAUACAAAUUUAAUAUUGAAUAAGUCUUCCAUUAAAUUAAAUGUAACUUGAAAGAUUGUCUACUUAGUAUUCCCUGAUUGUAUGAAUCCUUAAGAUGAUAUGCAUAUAUUAUGUCCAUUUUUUAGUGUGUGAUGUUGCUCAUGUGAGAUAUUAAUACGCGAACACGUCGUUUGCGUAUUAAAUUUAGUAUUUAAGCACUAUCAUUCACUAGUUAUUGUGUGUUCAUCGCACGCGCACGCACACACAAGAUGCAUCGAUGCACACUAUUAGGAGACAAUUUGUGUUAGAUCGACAAUUUCCCAAUGUUUUACCGCCACAAAUUUUGUGUUACACUUCAUAAUAAAUAUAUGUUAAAUUGAGUAACGUUACACCUUUUCAAGUUUUGUGUUAUACUUCACAAAAUGGUCAUUCUAAUUCCAUGUGAUAUUUCUCAACAUUUUUAUCACAUGUCGUACAACGAAAACAAAAAUCACAGCAAAGUUGGAGCCGAAAGAACAUACUGAGACAUGAAUAUACUUUUCCAUGAAUCAUCGAAUAGAGACGAAUGAUAUUUAUGUAGCUUGCUUGACUUAAAAUGUCUUCGUGACCCUUUUUUCUCAUCUCUCUCACCCAAUUCCAAACACACAGAUCAUGGCUAGCUGCAGCCUCCACUGCUUGUUUCCCAUUCUCUCCGUUCUUAUUAGCGUACACAUCGUCCCAACUUCGGCUGCAACAACGGGAAAUUGUUCCGUAAGGGCCAGCAACAUUUACUGUUUGGAUUCAGGCCUUCCCUCUACAUGGUACAACAACAACUCUGUCAUCAUGAAUGGAUGGCAGAUGAGAGUAUUCCUCUUAUUACAGGACGCCGGUGAUUUUGAUUUUUAUUGUGGGUUUUACUGCAAUGGCACCUGCAACUCUUAUGUUUUUUCAGUUGUUGCCGUUAGAGAAAACGAUCACAGAGUGGUCUGGUCAGCUAACAAAGACCGCCCGGUAAAAGCAAACGCGAUGGUGCAGCUAAAGACGGACGGUUUGGUGCUGAGAGAUUCGGAUGGCACCCAGAUAUGGGCGAGCAACCACUCAGGUAACUCCGUUCACUGGAUGAACCUUGACCCGGAUGGAAAUCUUUCUCUCUUUAACAAUGAAAGCAAAAUAAUUUGGAAAUCCUCAGCAGAAAAGAUAUCACUGAGUCCACCAAAUCCCUCCAUCACUCCAAACGGAACAUUAACACCAGAAGGAAAAGCACCACCACCUGUAACGGGCAUAGCACCAACAGAAGAGAACAUGCCAAAAUCACCCAAAAAAAGAGGAACAAAAUUGGUGGUGGUAGCAGGAGGAUCAACCGCUGGUGGGCUUCUGAUUCCCUACAUCACUCCAAACGGAACAUUAACACCAGAAGGAAAUGCAGCCUACAUCACUCCAACAUACAUCACUCCAACAAACCGAACAUCAACACCAGACGGAAAUGCACCCUACAUCUCUCCAACAUACAUCACUCCAACAAACGGAACAUCAACACCAGAAGGAAAUGUACCCUACAUCACUCCAACAAACGGAACAUUAGCACCAGAAGGAAAUGUACCCUACAUCACUCCAACAAACGGAACAUUAGCACCAGAAGGAAAUGUACCCUACAUCACUCCAACAAACGGAACAUUAGCACCAGAAGGAAAUGUACCCUACAUCACUCCAACAAACGGAACAUUAGCACCAGAAGGAAAUGUACCCUACAUCACUCCAACAAACGGAACAUUAGCACCAGAAGGAAAUGUACCCUACAUCACUCCAACAAACGGAACAUUAGCACCAGAAGGAAAUGUACCCUACAUCACUCCAACAAACGGAACAUUAGCACCAGAAGGAAAUGUACCCUACAUCACUCCAACAAACGGAACAUUAGCACCAGAAGGAAAUGUACCCUACAUCACUCCAACAAACGGAACAUUAGCACCAGAAGGAAAUGCACCACCACCUGCGACAGGCAUAGCACCAACAGAAGAGAACAGGCCAAAAUCACCCAAAAAAGGACGAACAAAAUUGGUGGCGGUAGUAGCAGGAUCAACCGCUGGUGGGCUUCUGAUUAUCUGUAUUGUAAUUGUGUUGUAUAUUGUGAAAGUUCGGAGGAACGUAGGGGAGGAGGAACAUUUGGAAGAUGACAUGAAACAAGUUCCUGGAUUACCUGUGAGGUUUUCAUAUGAAGAUUUACAGAUUGCGACAGAAGAUUUUAAAGAGAGAAUUGGAGGAGGGGGGUUUGGAACUGUGUUCAAGGGGGUUUUAAAAGACGGCAGUAAAAUUGCUGUAAAGCGUCUGGAUAGAAUGGAGCAGGGGAUGAGGGAGUUCGUAGCAGAAGUUGAGACAAUCGGUAGCUUGCAUCAUUUCAAUCUUGUGAGAUUGAUUGGCUUUUGCGUAGAGAAAUCCUGCAGGCUUCUUGUUUAUGAGUACAUGAGCAAUGGCUCCUUGGAAAAAUGGAUUUUUGUCAGAGAUCCGAGACCUUGUCUUGACUGGCAAACUAGGAAGAAAAUAAUACUUGAUGUAGCCAAAGGAUUGACUUAUCUGCAUGAAGAUUGCCGGAGAAGAGUGGCACAUCUUGAUAUAAAGCCACAAAAUAUUCUCUUGGACGAAAAUUUCAAUGCCAAGG